rnacentral:tRNA from 1 species
GCCUGGGUGGCUCAGUCGGUUAAGCGUCUGACUUCAGCUCAGGUCAUGAUCUCACAGCUCAUGAGUUCGAGCCCCACUUCGGGCU